rnacentral:rRNA from 1 species
GAUGAACGCUAGCGGCAGGCUUAACACAUGCAAGUCGAGGGGUAUAGUAGCAAUACUAGAGACCGGCGCACGGGUGCGUAACGCGUAUGCAACCUACCUUGAACAGGGGAAUAGCCCAGAGAAAUUUGGAUUAAUGCCCCAUAGCGUAUUGAGUUGGCAUCAGCACAAUACUAAAGUCACAACGGUUCAAGAUGGGCAUGCGUCCCAUUAGUUAGUUGGUAAGGUAACGGCUUACCAAGACGAUGAUGGGUAGGGGUCCUGAGAGGGAGAUCCCCCACACUGGUACUGAGACACGGACCAGACUCCUACGGGAGGCAGCAGUGAGGAAUAUUAGUCAAUGGGCGCAAGCCUGAACCAGCCAUGCCGCGUGCAGGAUGAAGCAUCUAUGGUGUGUAAACUGCUUUUGUACGGGAAGAAACACCGGAACGCGUUCCGGCUUGACGGUACCGUAAGAAUAAGGAUCGGCUAACUCCGUG